UGGAGGAUGUGGUGGGGAGAGAAUGGCACACAGAGGCAAGGAGGAGCAUGUAGCUAGGCUUGAUUAGAGCUGGAGUGCUACCUCAUGUGGAGUCCUCUGAGGGUAUGCAUGUCACGUUCUCAGUGACGCGCCUCCACAUGGCUGUGUCAAGCCAACGUGCUGGGGUGAGUGUUACAAUGGUUGAUUGGCUUUUCUUCUCUUUAUGCCCCAGCUCAAACACCUAGUUUUGAUACUGUGGACUACCUAUCUCUGACUGGCUAUUAGACUGUGAAGAUAUAAGAGAGGGUGUUGAACGGAGAGUCUGUCUUUGAUCUGGCACCCAUCCACACAAAAUAAGUCAUCUUCUUUGGAACAAACUGUAUACUUUCACAAUGUAAAACACCUUAUAGCAGAGCAUGUUUGCAUUACAAUGGAACAAGCAAUUAUUUUAAAGAGAUUCUCAGCUACUUUUGUAUACUUUUUAGCCAGUAGUUCUGAAAGUAGCACUCACAAGCCAAAAGUGGUCCCUGGAAAUUGAGUACUACGUCACAUAUGUGCAGAUUUGUGUACCACGUCAUUGCUCUCUUUUUUGCUCUCUCUCUCUAUGCUGUGUCCACAUGAGCUGUUGGGCCCGCCUUGCAACCUCAUUGGAUAACGCCGGGCAGGUCUCUUGCUAGCUGUCACUGAAAUGCAAGGGGCUGAAUCUCAUUGGCUAGAACACUAAUUACUAGGGGUCUGGGCCACAUGGGAGGAAAUGAAGGCAAAAUUGCACGGCACAGCUUCAAGAAAAGUCGCUUUCAAAUUAAGGAUUUUGUGGCUGAUUGAGGUAAACAUUCAACCUUUAGAUGAAGAGGACACCACUAAACUGAAGACAAGCUCCAGCCCCACCUGUACUGGCUGGUCAUUGCAGUUUUCAUCCCCAGGCUCCAGUGGCCAGCAGGGCCAGUACACCUGAGAUCAAUGCAAGAGAUAUUCCUCACCUCUUUCUUUGGACAAACUUGUUUGCUUUGCUCCUUGUAGAAAUCUGAGCAUGACAGCCAUCUGAUAGCCAUAGUGUAUCCAGUGUUUCUUUGCCGGUCUCACAUGUUUGGAAUGUGGUAAUCCUUCUGCAGGAGUUAAAUGGAUAGUAUUCCUCACCCUUUGACUAUUACACAGCACAUCAAAUAGUGGAUAGACCUUGGGUUGACUCUACAAAGCCCUGUUAGUUGUGUUCAUUAGACUGUUUGACAUGUCCCAGUAUCAUAGCAAAUAAAAACUGCUCUCUCCAUCAUUAACAUGGCUUUGAUCUCUGCCAAGAAAACAAACCUCUGCCAAAAAUUCUGUUCUGUUGAAUAGGACUUUCUCAUGCAACUUCCCCUUGCAAUCCUGUUAUAGUGUGUAGCCCUUUUUCUAUUACAAAAUGAAUCAAAGAUAUGAAUUCAGUGUUUUGAACAGAUGUCAAAUAAAAAGGGUGUCAACUGAGGACUACAACUGGAUUUUAUAACCUUUCCUAAUAUUUGCAAAGAUGAUCUUUAUCCUGAAUAAACCUAAUGCAAUCACAA